rfam:Dipodomys ordii contig_68515, whole genome shotgun sequence.
GGGAAGGUGGCUCAGUGGUAGAGCGCUUGCCUUGCAUGCACGAGGCCCAGGAUUUGAUUCCUCCGCACCCC